UGGGGAAUUUUGGACAAUGGGCGCAAGCCUGAUCCAGCCAUGCCGCGUGCGGGAAGAAGGCCUUCGGGUUGUAAACCGCUUUUGUCAGGGAAGAAAUCUUCUGAGUUAAUACCUCGGGAGGGUGACGGUACCUGAAGAAUAAGCACCGGCUAACUACGUGCCAGCAGCCGCGGUAAUACGUAGGGUGCAAGCGUUAAUCGGAAUUACUGGGCGUAAAGCGUGCGCAGGCGGUUUUGUAAGACAGAGGUGAAAUCCCCGGGCUCAACCUGGGAACUGCCUUUGUGACUGCAAGGCUUGAGUGCGGCAGAGGGGGAUGGAAUUCCGCGUGUAGCAGUGAAAUGCGUAGAUAUGCGGAGGAACACCGACGGCGAAGGCAGUCCCCUGGGCCCGCACUGACGCUCAUGCACGAAAGCGUGGGGAGCAAACAGGAUUAGAUACCCUGGUAGUCCACGCCCUAAACGAUGUCAACUGGUUGUUGGGAAGGUUCCUUCUCAGUAACGUAGCUAACGCGUGAAGUUGACCGCCUGGGGAGUACGGCCGCAAGGUUGAAACUUAAAGGAAUUGACGGGGUCA
rnacentral:rRNA from 1 species